CCCUUAGAUGUUCUGGGCCGCACGCGCGCUACACUGAUGCGUUCAACAAGUUUCCUUGGCCGAGAGGCCUGGGCAAUCUUCUUAAUAUGUAUCGUGAUAGGGAUAGAUUAUUGCAAUUAUUAAUCUUGAACGAGGAAUUCCUAGUAAACGCAGAUCAUCAAUCUGCAUUGAUUACGUCCCUGCCCUUUGUACACACCGCCCGUCGCACCUACCGAUUGGAUGUUCCGGUGAAGACUCGGGAUGAGGACUGGUGCCUUUAUUGGCAUGAGUUGUUCAGAACUUGUCUAAACCUUAUCAUCUAGAGGAAGGUGAAGUCGUAACA
rnacentral:rRNA from 1 species